rnacentral:rRNA from 1 species
GACGAACGCUGGCGGCGCGCUUAACACAUGCAAGUCGAACGGAAAGGCCUGCUUUCCCUUGUGUAUUGCGGGUACUCGAGUGGCGAACGGGUGAGUAACACGUGAGUGAUCUGCCCCCAACUUGGGUAUAAGCCUGGGAAACUGGGUCUAAUUCCCGAUAGGACUGCAGGGUGGUGCCUGUGGUGGAAAACGAUUUUCUAGUGGUUGGGGAUGAGCUCGCGGCCUAUCAGCUUGUUGGUGGGGUAAUGGCCUACCAAGGCGGCGACGGGUAGCCGGCCUGAGAGGGUGGACGGCCACAUUGGGACUGAGAUACGGCCCAGACUCCUACGGGAGGCAGCAGUGGGGAGUAUUGCACAAUGGGCGGAAGCCUGAUGCAGCGACGCCGCGUGGGGGAUGACGGCCUUCGGGUUGUAAACUCCUUUCGACCGCGAGGAAGCCACCUGGUUGGAAGGGUGGUGACGGUAGUGGUAGAAGAAGCACCGGCUAACUACGUG